rnacentral:misc_RNA from 1 species
GGUCAGCGGUUUGAGUUUCAAAAUGCCCCUUCUUACUCCGAAAAGAACUGGGGUGGUUCCUUCCCAAGAAAGUGGUUUUGGGUCCAGUGCAGUGUAUUUGAAGGUGCAAUUGGAGAUGUUGCUUUGACUGCUGGUGGUGGACUAAGGCUACUUCCGGGAUUGAAUGAGACUUUUGAAAGUGUUGCUCUGAUAGGAAUUCACUAUAGAGGUAUCUUCUAUGAAUUUGUUCCAUGGAAUGCUAGUGUUAGUUGGGAAAUUACUCCCUGGGGUAAAUGGCAUAUAUCUGCGGAGAAUGAGACACAUAUGGUAUUACUAGAAGCAACAGCAGAAGAUCCUGGUACCACGUUGCGGGCUCCUACGGAAGAGAUGGGUCUCGCUCCUGCAUGUAGAGACACUUGUUUCGGUGAGCUAAGACUGCAGUUGUGGGAACGGAAGAGUAAUGGGAGUAAAGGAAAGGUUAUUUUGGAUGUUACAAGCAAUAUGGCAGGUCUUGAAGUUGGGGGAGGACCAUGGUUCAACACAUGGAAGGGAAACGCAGAGAUGCCGGAAAUUGUUACUCGAGCUAUCAAUGUUCCUGUGGAUUUGGAUGGCAUAUUCAGCUGUGUUCCUUCACUUCUCAAACCUCCUGGCCUUUGAG